rnacentral:rRNA from 1 species
GACGAACGCUGGCGGCGUGCUUAACACAUGCAAGUCGAACGGAAAGGCCCUGCUUUUGUGGGGUGCUCGAGUGGCGAACGGGUGAGUAACACGUGAGUAACCUGCCCUUGACUUUGGGAUAACUUCAGGAAACUGGGGCUAAUACCGGAUAGGAGCUCCUGCUGCAUGGUGGGGGGUGGAUAGUUUCGGCGGUUGGGGAUGGACGCGCGGCUUAUCAGCCUGUUGGUGGGGUAGUGGCUUACCAAGGCUUUGACGGGUAGCCGGCCUGAGAGGGUGACCGGCCCCAUUGGGACUGAGAUACGGCCCAGACUCCUACGGGAGGCAACAGUGGGGAAUAUUGCACAGUGGGCGGAAGCCUGAUGCAGCAACGCCGCGUGCGGGAUGACGGCCUUCGGGUUGUAAACCGCUUUCGCCUGUGACGAAGCGUGAGUGACGGUAAUGGGUAAAGAAGCACCGGCUAACUACGUG